GCUUUCUUGGUGUAGUGGUCAGCACACUCGACGUGUAACCGAGAGGUCCGUGGUUCGAUUCUUGGCGAAGGCG
rnacentral:tRNA from 1 species